CCUACGGGAGGCAGCAGCUAAGAAUAUUCCGCAAUGGGCGAAAGCCUGACGGAGCAAUCCCGCGUGAAUGACGAAGGCUUUAGGGUCGUAAGUUCUUUCGGCAGGGAAGAAUAAGGUGAAGAGGAAAUGCUUCAUCGAUGACGGUACCUGCAGAAGAAGCACCGACUAACUACGUGCCAGCAGUCGCGGUAAUACGUAGGGUGCUAACGUUGCUCGGAAUUACUGGGCGUAAAGGGUGCGCAGGCGGUUGAAUAAGUUAGUGGUGAAAUCCCGGAGCUUAACUCCAGGCCUGCCAUUAAUACUGUUCAGCUUGAGUCGUAAUAGAGGCAGUGGGAAUUCCUAGUGUAGGAGUGAAAUCUGUAGAUAUUAGGAGGAACACCAAUGGCGAAGGCAAGCUGCUGGGUAACGACUGACGCUAAUGCACGAAAGCUAGGGGAGCAAAUGGGAUUAGAGACCCCAGUAGUCCUAGCUGUAAACUAUGUAUACUAGUUUUUAGGUCUUUUAUUAGACUUAAUAACAAAGCCAACGCGUUAAGUAUACCGCCUGGGAGUAUGCACGCAAGUGUGAAACUUAAAGGAAUUGACGG
rnacentral:rRNA from 1 species